rnacentral:rRNA from 1 species
GUGUCAGCAGCCGCGCGGUAAUACGGAGGGUGCAAGCGUUACUCGGAAUCACUGGGCGUAAAGCGCGCGCAGGCGGCUAGAUAAGUUGGAAGUGAAAUCCUAUGGCUCAACCAUAGAACUGCUUCCAAAACUGUUUAACUAGAGUCUGGGAGGGGAAGAUGGAAUUAGUAGUGUAGGGGUAAAAUCCGUAGAGAUUACUAGGAAUACCAAAAGCGAAGGCGAUCUUCUGGAACAGUACUGACGCUGAGGCGCGAAAGCGUGGGGAGCAAACAGGAUUAGAUACCCUGGUAGUCCACGCCCUAAACGAUGAAUGUUAGUCGUCGGGACUCUAGUAGUUUCGGUGAUGCAGUUAACACAUUAAACAUUCCGCCUGGGGAGUACGGUCGCAAGAUUAAAACUCAAAGGAAUAGACGGGGACCCGCACAAGUGGUGGAGCAUGUGGUUUAAUUCCAAGAUACGCGAAGAACCUUACCUAGCCUUGACAUAUUUUAGAACUCCGCAGAGAUGUAGAGGUGCCUUCGGGAGCUAAUAUACAGGUGCUGCACGGCUGUCGUCAGCUCGUGUCGUGAGAUGUUGGGUUAAGUCCCGCAACGAGCGCAACCCUCGUUCUUAGUUACUAACGGUUCGGCCGAGGACUCUAAGAAGACUGCCUUCGUAAGGAGGAGGAAGGUGAGGACGACGUCAAGUCAUCAUGGCCCUUACGGCUAGGGCAACACACGUGCUACAAUGGUUAGGACAAUGAGACGCAAUACCGCGAGGUGGAGCAAAUCUAUAAACCUAAUCUCAGUUCGGAUUGUAGUCUGCAACUCGACUACAUGAAGCUGGAAUCACUAGUAAUCGUAGAUCAGCUAUGCUACGG